CAGACUCCAUGAAAACAAGGCCGGUUGGGAUGGCAGUCAGACUAAGUGGCCUGACCCCGUUGGUGUUUAAAUGGAGCUCUGGUAUUCUAGUGCAUUCUUUUACCUCUGCUUCUGUUGCGUUGCAAGCUGUGCUAGAGAAGACGUAGGAAAUUCAUUUUACCCAAUCAGCAAUUGUAACAAUGGACUACAAACCUGCAGAGCAAGCCGGUUUGCUGGAAAACAGGAAUUCCUGCAGCGCAGCGCUUGUCACAGACUAUCCAAAGAGGGCAAAGAUUCAGGAAGGUGAAUAAAUUGAACAUUGGUUGAAUGAGGUCAGGAACAGUCUCCCGGAGGAGAACCCUGCCCUAAAAUACUACUUUGAAAGUAUAAGCCAAUUUAAUGCGCAGAUUAACCCUUCUCAUUUGAGCAAACCUGUGUGCAAUCCUGGAUCUUUGCAAAUCACAACCGGACACUU